CCUGCCAGUAGUCAUAUGCUUGUUUUAAAGAUUAAGCCAUGCAUGUCUAAGUAUAAGCAAAAAUACAGCAAAACUGCAAAUGGCUCAUUAAAACAGUUAUUGUUUACUUGAUAAUAAUUUUUACAUGGAUAACCGUGGUAAUUCUACAGCUAAUACAUGAGCAAAAUCUCAACUUUAUUAGAAGAGACGCAUUUAUUAGAUAAAAAGCCAGUUCAUGCUUUUACAGUAUGAAAAUUGGUGAUUUAUAAUAACUUAGCAAAUCGCAAAGUGAAAACAGGCGAUAAAUCAUUCAAGUUUGUGACCUAUCAGCUUUCGACGGUAUGGUAUUGGCUUACCGUGGCAGUGACGGUUAACGGGGGAUUAGGGUUCGAUUCCGGAGAGGGAGCCUGAGAAACGGCUACCACAUCUAAGGAAGGCAGCAGGCGCGCAAAUUACCCAAUUCUAACAGUUUGAGAGAGGUAGUAACAAGAAAUAACAAUACAAGGCAGUUAAAAUGCUUUGUAAUUGGAAUGAUAGAAAUUUAAACCCUUUUUAAAGUAUCAAUUGGAGGGCAAGUCUGGUGCCAGCAGCCGCGGUAAUUCCAGCUCCAAUAGCGUAUAUUAAAAUUGUUGCAGUUAAAAAGCUCGUAGUUGAAGUUCUGCUGAAAGUAACCGGUCUGCUUUUAAUAAAAGUGGUAUCUUGGUAUGUAUUUAGCAAUGAUGUCCUUUGAAGUGUUUUUUACUUUAUUGUAAUAAAGCAUAUUCAGGACUUUUACUUUGAGAAAAUUAGAGUGUUUCUAGCAGGCUAACGCUUUGAAUACUGCAGCAUGGAAUAAUAAGAUAGGAUUUUAGUUCUACAUUAUUGGUUUUAAGAGCUUAAUUAAUGAUGAUA
rnacentral:rRNA from 1 species